CGCGGAGAGCCGGCUCAGCCGAGCGCCGCUCCCCCUGCCCCCACCCCUCCCUCCGCGCCGCCCUCCUCCUCUUCACCUUCCUCCAGCCGGGCGCAGGCGAGCCGAGCCGAGCCGAGCGGCAGCAACAAGUUCAAAAGGUGUUGCUGCGUUCCCUUGUUCCGAAACGCCGGGGACUCUGAGAUUUCAACUAUCCGCUCGUUCGUGGAAAUGCCACAGGAAGUGUAUGGAUACGAAAUCCGGCCGAGCGGUCUCACUCCCAAUGCUUCUCUUGCCCAGGGGUUUCCGUUCUUCCUUAUUAUGUUCUCAUUUUAUAAACUCUGCUUGGUUGAUGGAAAAUAACCUCAGCAAGAGCAAACUGAAUUCAUCACCUACUCAGGUGUCACUCCUGAUAGAUAAAGCCCAACGUAGGAAACCCGGUGGUCGUUCACAGACCAGGCCCACCGCGUCCUCCUCUCCCCAAACACCCACACGCUCAUCCAAUGAUCCAAGAAGCUCGCUACCAUCUAUCCUUAGGCUGUAUCCACGGUGAUGUCUUAAAAAAUAUUUUGAAAUAAUGAUAGAGUCAAUGCAAUCGUGAGAAAUAAGAGACCCAUCACCUAGCUUCCCCCCAAAGGUGACAUUUUGCAUGUUGCAGUACAGUAUCACCACCAGGAAAGUGACACCGAUGCAACCCACUGACCUUAUUCAGAUUUCACCAGUGUUACAUACACUGACUUUUGCAUGUUUCUAUUUCGUUCUGAUUUUCUCACACACAUAGGUUUGUGUGACCACCAUCCCCGUAAACAUAGAUUCUCACCACGAAGAUCCCCUUUUAAAGUCAUAACUGCCGCCCUCCCUCCUCCCUUCCCUAUCCCUUGUCAACCACACAUCUGUUCUCCUUUAUAGUCUAUCAAUUCAAAAAUUUUUAUAUAGAAGGAAUCGUGCAAUGUAAACUUUGAGACUGUCUUAUUUUACUCAGUAGGAUUAGGUGAGGUCUAUCCACAUUAUCGAGAGUCCAUUGCUUUUUAUUGCUGACUUAAUACCGCACUUGGAUGAAGCAGUCACCUGCUGAAGGACAUCUGGAGAGAUUCCAGUUUGGGCCUUUUAUGAAUAAAGCUGCUGUGAACAUUCUCGUUACAGGAAACAAAGCUCAAGAAGGUGAAAUGAUGUUCCAAGAUUACUUCGUAUACCUGAGUGGCAAAAGCUGACUCAUUUCCAGGCCUUCUAACCCUAAGUCGCAUAUCCUUUUAGGUCUGCAAACACGCCAGUAUCUACAAUAGCAGAGUCUUUGUCAGUUUGCUGUUUUCAUGCUGGUGAUGAAUCUGCAGACAGGUGCAUACUAUGUUAUUCAGCCUCCGUGGCACAUCUCUGAGAGGUCUUUGGCCAGGGCAGGAAAAUCCGUCGGUGGUCAUGGAAAACGGGAGUACUGCAUCUGCUCAUUCCAUAUUUUAACCAAUUACGCUAACUGCCCAGAGUGAUAAGCACAUUUUAAUGUCUCACUCAAUGGCAUAUUUCACAUAAGACAGUUUUAGUAUUUCUGACUACGUUCUUAGAACCUCUUCCAAGACAAGCCUUUCUGAGAGUCUGUAUUAGCUUAUUUUAUUUUAUUUUUACCUAUUUUUUACUUAGGUAUAAUUGACACAUGACACUGUAUUUGUUUAGGUGUACAGAAUAAUGAUUUGACGUAUGUAUAUAUUGCUAAAGGAAUAAAUUUAGUUAAAACCCAUCCCCACACAUAAUUACACAUUUUUUCUUGUGAUGAGAAUUUUGAGAUCUACUUUCUUAAUAGCACUGUAUUAUAUAUUUGGAAGUUGCUGACUGUAGACAGCAUACUUUGUAUUCCAUCCCCAUAAUUUGUAUACCUCAUAACUGGAAGUUUAUAUCUUUUGAACAUUUUCAUCUAUUUCCUAAUAACCCUGUAUGAGGUUUCUUAAAAUACAGUAUCAUCUUUAUUAAAGAAACAAAAUCCUACAUUAAGAAAGAAUUCAAUCGACUUGUAAAAUGAACAAAAUUUUUGGCAAGAAACUAAAAUCUUAUGCAUUAAAUCUUGAUUAAGUUCUAGCAAUUAAAAAGAAAUUUGUUUUGUUAAAUAUCAGGAAAGAAAAUAAACAUCUUCACCCUAAAAUAUCUGAUCACAAAUUGUAAACAGAGAAACAUAGAGAAAUAGAAAUAAAAAUAAAUUUUAUUCACAUUCUAGAUUCCAUAUUAUUCCGAGUUAGGCCAAUAAAUGUACUUUAUCCAAAGGUAAUUUUGGUUUGGUUUGAAUCCUUUGGUCAUCAGAAGUACACAAAAAGUACACACAAAAAAAGCUGUCUUCUAGGAAAAUAAAAAUAAAAUCUGACAUACCAGUAAGGUAGGGGGGACAUGAGAAAGUCACAGAAUGGGUAAGGGCUAGUUAAAUGCUUAAAACAUACUUGAGAUUUCAAAUACCUCACAGUAUCCCUGGAAUAUGGUCAUCAGGGAAAGGGCGGUGACCCUGUGUCUUUUUUUGGACCACUAUUAAAAAGAUAGGUUGGCAACCUACGUUUAACUUCUUUUUUAACUUCCUUUUCCCCUUUAUUAAUACUGCAAAGUGCUCUUCAAAGUCCUCUUCAAAGGAUCUUCCUCUCUUUAAGUUUUGGACCUUGAACAUCUCCUAUUAAAAAUAACCCAUUUUCAGGAACUUUAUGCCUCAUAUACAGAACAUCUUAAACAUAUUUUAUAUUUUAUAUGAAAUGGACUUGACUUUCCAAGUUCCCACACAGAGAUACAAAAAUCUAGCCAUCAGGUUACAGCUUCCGUUCUGCCUCAUGGGAUGGCGAUUGUUAUGAAGAAGCGUAGGGGUUGUUUUUAAUAUAAAGAACAUAUUUUUGUUGUUAAAAUAUUCAUGAAAUGACAGACGGUGGUGCACAUGGCGUUCCCAUGAUCUAAAAAGGCAGGGGACGGAUUAGAGGGAAAACCCCAGUGUUAAUCACUUACCAGGUGCAAAGCACCGCAUUGCAGGUGCCCGUGGCCCAGCAUGACCUGCCCUCGGGGAGCUUGACCCUGAGGUGCAAAGGGGAGCACGGAAACCUCUCUUAACCCAAAAGUAACCCUACUUGUGAGUCUCAUUUCAGACUAUUUUCCCCAAAUGCUUUACCCUGAGAAACUGUUUGUGUGUUAGGGAUGGGAAAGGAGGGAAGGUUUGCUUCUGGGUCUCAUUUUCAUACUUAGGACUUUGGGAUUAAUUGCUACGGAAUAAUUCCAGCGCCGUAAAAACAGGAGAAUUGUGACUACAACCUGGAAGAAGCAGCGAGUGUUCCCAAGAAAUAAAAGCGUUCUUUCUCUAAAACUGCGGAAAAGUAAAUUUUUGCAGAUGUUCCUAACGUGGGCAAAGAAGAUAAAUUACUCCGGAUAGUUUACGGUCAUUGAAAAUCUUGAGGAAGUCUAUAAAGUUCUCACCGAUUAAGAAGCCACGUUCUGUGAGAAAAUUGGCAAUUAAUUUGCUUGUUUACUCUCUUUAAAACUGUUUGAUAUGCUCUAGCAAAGCCACUUUGAUACACAAGUAUAUUUGCUUCAUUAGUUCUACGCACGAUCAUGUAGUUGGCUUUAAUAAAUCACUCAAAAUAGUGGCAUGCAAGGCAAAGCAGAACAAUGUAAUACUUUAAGAUGUUUGGCUAAUAGAGGAUCCCUGCACUCCCCCACUUUUUUAGGCGUUGGUAUUAUGUAAAUCUUGCUUGUUUACAAUUUAACCUGUGCUGGAUUUUAAUUUAAAUAAAGAAAAUUAUUUAAUGGAGGGUUAUUAAACAGGUUUCACAUUGCAGGUGUUCCAGUCCCCCAGGUGGAUACUCACUAAGGGAGCUUAUUAAAGUUUGUUCGACUUAUUUAUGUCGCAGUCCUUUUCCUCCUCCUCUCGUGUGAAACCUGCGUGGCCCAGAACUCCCACUGACGUUCCGGCAGAGCCUGGGUUUAUAGAUUUGGGAAGAGCAACACGCUUGAGGCUUGGGAUGCUCACCAAGCAAUCGCGUUUGAUGUCUCAGUCUAGAUGUGUUGGAUUUUUCUACAGCAUUUCUGUCUGGGAAACGCGAAUUGUACUCUGCAUAAAGAAAUUAUUUGGAAAUUUGGUUCCCACCCUCGCAAAGAGAAUCGCCGGAGGAAGGGGGUAUAAAGAAUUGCAUAAACAUGUUAAGAGUAUUUGAAAUAUUUUAUGAUGCAUAAGCUUUUUAAAGCAUUUGUAACAUGAAAAGCCAAGUCGGGGACAACACACGAUGGGAGGGGAGGCUACCGCGUGGGAAGCAGGGGUUGCUUGUGAUGGAAAAAUAAAUCAGGAAGUUUGAGGAGAAGGAAGUUCUGACACGGCUCCUCCUCCGUCAGACUGGGCCCUAUUUCUAUAACUGGUUUCAAGAGGAGGAAACAGAUCUGCUUUGUUUCAUGAUAGUCGCAUGUGGGAGGGGGCUGAGGAGAAGAACCUGGGAGGAUAAAAAAAAUGUCUAGUCCAAAUAAAGGGUGUAGUUUUCAAGAGUAAAUGUAGGAUGGACAUAAGACAGCUUGUGAGGGGAAAAAAAGAAUGUAGUAUGUGUGAUUACUUGACGUGGGAAUGUAAGGGGGACAAAAGGGUGGGGACACCAAUUUUGAGACUAGUGAUGGAGAGAGUAAGGACAAGACACAGGAGAAUCCAAGCAGCUGCUACCCCCCCACCCCGCAGGCCGGUGGGGACAGAGGUGGCGGGCCGCUAUGCCCGCAGGACUCCCGAGGCUACAGCUCCACUCCUCCUAGAAGUCUACUUUUUUGAUAUUAAACAUUUGGACAUUCAUGUCCUGUUCUCGACCUGCAAUUCACUUCUUCAGAUCUCCUUCUUAGAUGCGGUAAAAGAAUCUUGAAAAAGGGGAAAUGAAGAUGUCCAAGGGCAUGUUAGAGGGGGCGCAAUGAUGCAUUUCACGGGCUCUCACACUCUCUACUCCAGAGCUUCUUCC